UACGUAGGGGGCUAGCGUUGUCCGGAUUUAUUGGGCGUAAAGAGCGUGUAGGCGGCCAGAUAGGUCUGCUGUGAAAACUCGAGGCUCAACCUCGAGAUGUCGGCGGAAACCAUUUGGCUAGAGUCCGGAAGAGGAAAAUGGAAUUCCUGGUGUAGCGGUGAAAUGCGCAGAUAUCAGGAGGAACACCAAUAGCGAAGGCAGCUCGCUGGGACGGUAUUGACGCUAAGGCGCGAAAGCGUGGGGAGCAAACAGG
rnacentral:rRNA from 1 species